UUUACGUUCACAGACGUGGUUUGUAAAUACAAUGUCGCUGUCUUUGAAAGUAGAAAAUAUAUCUCUGAACAAAAAUAUUAGUUAGGUUUCCUGAAAAAGAAGAACGAAAUAAACAAGUUUUACCGAGUUUCUUACUUUUUUUCUUCACAAACCAAUUUGAGCCCGGGUUCUAUUCUCCAAACAUAAUCGUAUUCCAAUUGAGGAUGAUAUAAUAAAGAUCGAACUACCCAAUCUUGAAAACUGU